rnacentral:tRNA from 1 species
UCCCUGGAGGACUACUGGUUAGGCCACAGCAGUCUCUCCGCUGCAGCCCGGGUUCGAUUCCCGGCCAGGGAA